rnacentral:rRNA from 1 species
ACGUAGGGGGCGAGCGUUAUCCGGAUUCAUUGGGCGUAAAGCGCUCGUAGGCGGCCUGCUAGGUCGGGAGUCAAAUGCGGGGGCCCAACCCCCGGCCGCUCCCGAUACCGGCGGGCUUGAGUUUGGUAGGGGAAGGCGGAAUUCCCGGUGUAGCGGUGGAAUGCGCAGAUAUCGGGAAGAACACCGGUGGCGAAGGCGGCCUUCUGGGCCACAACUGACGCUGAGGAGCGAAAGCUGGGGGAGCGAACAG